GAUGAACGCUGGCGGCGUGCCUAAUACAUGCAAGUCGAGCGAAUGGAUUAAGAGCUUGCUCUUAUGAAGUUAGCGGCGGACGGGUGAGUAACACGUGGGUAACCUGCCCAUAAGACUGGGAUAACUCCGGGAAACCGGGGCUAAUACCGGAUAACAUUUUGAACCGCAUGGUUCGAAAUUGAAAGGCGGCUUCGGCUGUCACUUAUGGAUGGACCCGCGUCGCAUUAGCUAGUUGGUGAGGUAACGGCUCACCAAGGCAACGAUGCGUAGCCGACCUGAGAGGGGGAUCGGCGACACUGGGACUGAGCCACGGCCCAGACUCCUACGGGAGGCAGCAGUAGGGAAUCUUCCGCAAUGGACGAAAGUCUGACGGAGCAACGCCGCGUGAGUGAUGAAGGCUUUCGGGUCGUAAAACUCUGUUGUUAGGGAAGAACAAGUGCUAGUUGAAUAAGCUGGCACCUUGACGGUACCUAACCAGAAAGCCACGGCUAACUACGUGCCAGCCGCCGCGGUAA
rnacentral:rRNA from 1 species